rnacentral:tRNA from 1 species
AGGGACUUAGGUUAGCACUAGACCAAAGGCCUUCAAAGCCUUAAGGGAGGGUGAAAAUCCCUCAGCCCCUG